rnacentral:rRNA from 1 species
UGGGAAUCUUGCGCAAUGGGCGAAAGCCUGACGCAGCCAUGCCGCGUGAGUGAUGAAGGCCUUAGGGUUGUAAAACUCUUUCACCGGGGACGAUAAUGACGGUACCCGGAGAAGAAGCCCCGGCUAACUUCGUGCCAGCAGCCGCGGUAAUACGAAGGGGGCUAGCGUUGCUCGGAAUUACUGGGCGUAAAGGGCGCGUAGGCGGAUCAGCAAGUUGGGGGUGAAAGCCCGGGGCUCAACCUCGGAAUUGCCUUCAAAACUGCUGAUCUAGAGUACGGGAGAGGUGUGUGGAACUCCGAGUGUAGAGGUGAAAUUCGUAGAUAUUCGGAAGAACACCAGUGGCGAAGGCGACACACUGGCCCGUUACUGACGCUGAGGCGCGAAAAGCGUGGGGGAGCAAAACAGGAUUAGAUACCCUGGUAGUCCACGCUGUAAACGAUGAUUGCUAGUUGUCGGCAGGCAUGCCUGUCGGUGACNCAGCUAACGCAUUAAGCAAUCCGCCUGGGGGAGUACGGUCGCAAGAUUAAAAACUCAAAGGAAUUGACGGGGGUC